rnacentral:rRNA from 1 species
AGAACGAACGCUGGCGGCGUGGAUAAGACAUGCAAGUCGAACGCGAUUUAUCGAGUUAGCAAUAACUUGGUAAAUUGAGUGGCGAAAGGGUGCGUAACACGUGGGAAUUUACCGAGAAGUGGGGAAUAGCUUGACGAAAGUCAAAUUAAUACCGCAUGUGAUCGAAAGAUCAAAGCCGGGGACCGCAAGGCCUGGCGCUUCUUGAGAAGCCCGCGGCCCAUCAGCUAGUUGGCGGGGUAAAAGCCCACCAAGGCUAUGACGGGUAGCUGGUCUGAGAGGACGACCAGCCACACCUGGAACUGAGACACGGUCCAGACACCUACGGGUGGCAGCAGUCGAGAAUUUUUCACAAUGGAC